rnacentral:rRNA from 1 species
GGAUUCCCCUAGUAACUGCGAGUGAAGCGGGAAAAGCUCAAAUUUAAAAUCUGGCAGUCUCUGGCUGUCCGAGUUGUAAUCUAGAGAAGUAAUGCCCGUGCUGGACCGUGUAUAAGUCUCCUGGGAUGGGGCGUCAUAGAGGGUGAGAAUCCCGUCUUUGACACGGACUACCAGUGCAUUGUGGUAUGCUCUCAAAGAGUCGAGUUGUUUGGGAAUGCAGCUCAAAAUGGGUGGUAAAUUCCAUCUAAAGCUAAAUAUUGGCGAGAGACCGAUAGCGAACAAGUACCGUGAGGGAAAGAUGAAAAGAACUUUGGAAAGAGAGUUAAACAGUACGUGAAAUUGCUGAAAGGGAAACGCUUGAAGUCAGUCGCGUUGGCUGGAAAUCAGCCUUGCUUUUGCAUGGUGUACUUUCUGGUUGACGGGUCAGCAUCAAUUUUGACCGCUGGAAAAAGGCCUGGGGAAUGUGGCAGCUUCGGCUGUGUUAUAGCCCCUAGUCACAUACAGUGGUUGGGAUUGAGGAACUCAGCACGCCGCAAGGCCGGGUUUCGACCACGAUCGUGCUUAGGAUGCUGGCAUAAUGGCUUUAAGCGACCCGUCUUGAAACACGGACCAAGGAGUCUAACAUGCCUGCGAGUAUUUGGGUGGAAAACUCAAGUGCGUAAUGAAAGUGAAAGUUGAGAUCCCUGUCGUGGGGAGCAUCGACGCCCGGACCAGAACUUUUGGGACGGAUCCGCGGUGGAGCAUGUAUGUUGGGACCCGAAAGAUGGUGAACUAUGCCUGAAUAGGGUGAAGCCAGAGGAAACUCUGGUGGAGGCUCGUAGCGAUUCUGACGUGCAAAUCGAUCGUCAAAUUUGGGUAUAGGGGCGAAAGACUAAUCG